UACGUAGGGGGCAAGCGUUGUCCGGAUUUAUUGGGCGUAAAGAGCGUGUAGGCGGCCAUGUAGGUCCGUUGUGAAAACUCGAGGCUCAACCUCGAGACGCCGAUGGAAACCAUAUGGCUAGAGUCCGGAAGAGGAGAGUGGAAUUCCUGGUGUAGCGGUGAAAUGCGCAGAUAUCAGGAAGAACACCUAUGGCGAAGGCAGCUCUCUGGGACGGUACUGACGCUGAGACGCGAAAGCGUGGGGAGCGAACAGG
rnacentral:rRNA from 1 species